AACGAACGCUGGCGGCGUGCCUAACACAUGCAAGUCGAACGAGAAAGUUUCCUUCGGGAAACCAGUAAAGUGGCGCAAGGGUGAGUAACACGUGAAUAAUCUGCCUACGAAUUCGGGAUAACUCGGCGAAAGUUGUGCUAAUACCGAAUAAGACCACGUUUAUUAUGUAAUGUGGCCAAAGGAGUCUCAAACUCCGUUUGUAGAUGAGUUCGCGGACCAUUAGCUUGUUGGCGGGGUAACAGCCCACCAAGGCUACGAUGGUUAGCCGGCCUGAGAGGGUGAUCGGCCACACUGGAACUGAGACACGGUCCAGACUCCUACGGGAGGCAGCAGUGGGGAAUAUUGCGCAAUGGGCGAAAGCCUGACGCAGCAACGCCGCGUGAGGGAUG
rnacentral:rRNA from 1 species